UCCCUGAUGGUCCAAUGGCUAAGACUCUGCACCCCCAAUGCAGGGGGCCUGGGUUCAAUCCUCGGUCAGGGAA
rnacentral:tRNA from 1 species